GCUUACGGCCAUACCAACCUGGCUAUGCCCGAUCUCGUCUGAUCUCGGAAGCUAAGCCAGGUUUGGGCCUGGUUAGUACUUGGAUGGGAGACCCCCUGGGAAUACCAGGUGCUGUAAGCU
ensembl:rRNA 5S_rRNA 5S ribosomal RNA